UACGUAGGGGCAAGCGUUGUCCGGAUUUAUUGGGCGUAAAGAGCGUGUAGGCGGCUUUACAGGUCCGUUGUGAAAACUCGAGGCUCAACCUCGAGACGCCGGUGGAAACCGUAAGGCUAGAGUCCGGAAGAGGAGAGUGGAAGUUCCUGGUGUGAGCGGUGAAAUGCGCAGAUAUACAGGAAGAACACCCGUGGCGAAGGCGGCUCUCUGGGACGGUACUGACGCUGAGACGACGAAGCGUGGGGAGCGAACAGG
rnacentral:rRNA from 1 species